rnacentral:lncRNA from 1 species
GUCCCGAGCUCCUCUGAGCACUCUCUUCCUUCGGCCCAUCACCCCCCCAGGAAAGGUAUCAUCUGUAUACUCUUUAGUUUUUUUUUAGCAUGUUUUGCUGGAUUGGAGGUGGUCUUUUUGAUGGAUUGAUUUUGGGAAUUGUUGGCUAUUCUUGCUGAUUGUUGAAAAUAUUUACUUUGAUUAGUUGUGCAUGCAUGUUUUAAGAAAUAAAAAAGAUUAAAAUCUCAAUAAAUAAAUAGGAUGUGGAAAUUAG